rnacentral:rRNA from 1 species
GAUGAACGCUGGCGGCGUGCCUAAUACAUGCAAGUCGAGCGAACAGACGAGGAGCUUGCUCCUCUGACGUUAGCGGCGGACGGGUGAGUAACACGUGGAUAACCUACCUAUAAGACUGGGAUAACUUCGGGAAACCGGAGCUAAUACCGGAUAAUAUAUUGAACCGCAUGGUUCAAUAGUGAAAGACGGUUUUGCUGUCACUUAUAGAUGGAUCCGCGCCGCAUUAGCUAGUUGGUAAGGUAACGGCUUACCAAGGCAACGAUGCGUAGCCGACCGGAGAGGGGGGGGCGCCAACGGGGGAGCGGGGCCGGGGUCGGGACUCGGAGGGGGGGGGGCGGAGGGGAUUCUGCGGGAGGGGGGGAAGGCGGGAGGGGGCAGGGCGGGGGGGGGGAUGAGGGUGUUGGGUGCGUAAAACUGUGUUAUGGGGGAAGAACAAGUGGGAAGGGAACGGGGCGCGUCUGGGGGGGCCGUAAUAAGAAGGCGAGGGCAAACUAGGUG